UGGAGGCUGUGCAUACCCAACAUGGCAGCCAAGGACCAGCACUCCUUGCUCUCUGGUCCAAGGGGUCUCCAGAAGGAGGAUGCUGACUUGCCUCUAAACCAAUCCUUCAGCACAAGUCUAAAGCUUUUCCAACUCGACAACCCCCAUCUAAGCACAGACUCUGCCUUCAUCCAAAACAAAAGGACCUGUGCACAUCAAUGCCUUCAAAUAAUGCCUGGGACUGGGGAAGUGAUCUCUUUUAGAGUGGCUCCAUAAUGCAUCCUUCAAUCUGUACGGGAAAUCACAGUCACUGGUUUGAAUGGACUAAUCAAGAUCUAUGAACUGCUGUCUACACUAAUAGCCACUUUCUCAGAGAUCAAAGCCACGUGGCCAUGGAGAUAGACUUUCAGCUGCUUUUCUUGCAUCCUUUUCUGUUCGGAGUGCUUUAUCACUCAAAUGUCAUAAUCAGCUCAGGGUCUUUUCACUUCAGCUCUCUGCUACCAGACUGUUGAGUAUUAGAUAAUUUAACGGUUUGAGCCCACUGUGAUUUAAAAAACAAAAAGAUAGAAAACUUUGUCCAUGAGGAUCUAUGAAAUGAGAAGAGGCAAUCCUCAUUAGUCUUGUCUUCCUUUAACGGGGGAUAGACCAGUAUGCUGCUCCUCAGGCCAGCGAGGGCACCGUUCCUCACUGUGUGGCGGAGACAGGAGCGGGAACAACAUGGGUCCUUUGGCAACAUCUCCCAGAGGGGAGGCUCUCCAGAGCAUGGGCUUCUGUCUCUGGGCUCGCCCUCCUAGCUAUGGGAAGGAAAACUUGGGACUUCCACAGACAACAGUCUAAGCAUGUAGAUGUUUCUAGGCUGCCCUGCCAGGAAGAAUGUCUGUUCUGAGCUGUACAAGCCCUUCACAGUUGGGCCGGCUGGACCCUCGGGUGGGGCUGCACAUGUGGGACAGCAGUUCAGUGGAGAGGGGCUUGCAGACUAGCUCUCCCAGUGGCUAUGAUCACAGACCCUGGGAGCUUCGUGGUGUUAACUUUUCCCCAGGCCCCAUUGCACUGAGUACUGUCUUCCUACACAUUUCCCCUGCCACCUGAGGCCCAGGGCCUCGCCAGGCCUGUCUGGCCUCAUCUUGAUAGAACCUUCCCCACAGUGGGUAUUCAGCAUCAGUAUCAGAAGGCCACCAGAUGGGUUCCAAAGGGACUGCCUGGAAUCCAGUAGCAGCUCAGUAAAAAUUUGGUGAGUGAAUGAAUGAAUAAAUGA